rnacentral:sRNA from 1 species
AGGAGGUAUAUUUGUGGUUUAUUGUUAAGCUGUUUAACAUUGUCUCCCAUCCACAACUGAAUUUGACUGGCUUAAA